UACGUAGGGUGCGAGCGUUAAUCGGAAUUACUGGGCGUAAAGGGUGCGCAGGCGGCUCCGCAUGUCGGGCGUGAAAUCCCCGGGCUUAACCUGGGAAUUGCGUCCGAAACUAUGGAGCUGGAGUGUGGCAGAGGGAGGUGGAAUUCCACGUGUAGCGGUGAAAUGCGUAGAGAUGUGGAGGAACACCGAUGGCGAAGGCAGCCUCCUGGGCCAACACUGACGCUCAUGCACGAAAGCGUGGGAGCAAACAGG
rnacentral:rRNA from 1 species